ACUAAUCGAGGUUAAACAAGCUACACAAAGGUGCAAAAAUUAAAAUGUUUAUUUUGAAAAUUUCGGGUAUAAAAACGCGAAAACCGUCCAAACACAUUUAGAGAUCGUUGCGAAACACUAUCCGAGAUGAAGGCGAUUAUCACGUUAUUAGUAGCACUUUUGGUUGUACAAAAUUGCAGUGCGUUCAUAAAUAUUUUGAAAAACUAUCCACCACCCGCAGCAACAUGUCCAACUUGGAUGGACCAUAAGUACAGCCGAGCAAUUAUUCCAUUUUGUUUCCCCAAUGGCUACCCAUUCACCACCGUUCCGAAAUGUGGUUGCUAUGACUUUGUCGCCGGUUGUCACACCCAACUCGAUGUUCCAUGUCUACCACCAAUCUUGCCACAUCCUUGCGGUACUGGACUCGUAGUAGUUCCACCUUGCGAUUGGAGACAACGGUACGUUGUAAUUUAUUGAUGAAAUUACUGAGAGUUUCUGGUCGAAAUAAAAUGAAAUUAUCUAAGCGAU